AGGUUCCGUCUAAUAUAAAUUUUCGUAGCCGUUGAUUAAAUCGGUGUGUAACUUCUAUAGCACUAUAACAAUUCCAAACGGACAUUUUGAAAGUCAACAACGUCUUGCCUAGAUCCGUUUCCACAGAAAAUCUUCCCAGCCGUGAUCCUGUCGCUGCCGUAGGACAUCCCCGUCGUGAUCUUAUCUCCUUGAUCGCUGCGGCAGGGACCUGAGAACCCGGCCGCGAUCUCCACUUGAUGGCUGCUGCAAUACAAGGAAAUCAACGUCCAGCGAUCACCCGGCCGCUAUCUUUGCCUUGAUCGCCAUCCCAGCUGCCAGCCGCCGCCGCCGCCUCCUCCCUCGAGCCGCCGCCACCCUCUCCGUCGCAGCCCCCUCCCCUCCGUCACGGGGAUCGCCGGCAGAGUCACGGACCCGUCCCCUCCGUCGCGGGGAUCGGCCGGAAUGUCGGUAGGAUCGCCGGGAGCAUCCAGCCCCUACCCCCUACCUGACGAGCGCCGCCCGAGAUCACGGCGGAUGCGUUUCUGCCUCCCCGUCCACGUCGCCUCCUUCGAUCGCCUCUGUUGCCGUCGCUGCCAGAAUGAGGUCGGCAGUCAAUGAAAAAACUGAAGCAGAGAAGAUUCUUCACAUCAAGAGAGCUGAAGGAGAAACUGAGUCCAAGUAGCUUGUUGAUGGGUUGAGAGACAGCGUCCUCGCAAUCUUAGAGAAUGUGCACGGUACCACUGCAAAGGACAUCACGGAUAUGGUUCUGGUGACCUGGUACUUCGACGCCAUGGAGGAGAUUGGGGCCUCGUCCAAAUCCUCUUCAGUGUUUAUCCCCCAUGGUCCUGGAGCCGUCAAGGAUGUCGCCCAACAGAUCAGAGAUGGUCUCCUACAGGACAAUACUCUUUAAGCGAACCUGGAAAAGGAUGCUUUCUGUUUUCCAAGAGUUUUGAAGUCCUUCAUCCUUAUCCUAAAACGAUAGUAUGCGAACAAUGUUGGGCAACGCCGUUAGUACUUUAUCUACGAGCAUGAAUUAGUGUGCUAAGCUAUGAAUUUCACAUGGUGUUUUUACCUAGACAAACACAGUGUAGAAGAAUAUUCUUGAGAAUGGAUGUGCUUUGAUGUCCAGUCUUGUCAUUUCAUUUGAUAGUAGUCUACUAUGAUAUGUCUUAUGUGUUGA